GGAUGUGAGGGUGAUCUGGCUGUGACAUCUGUCACCCCAUUGAUCGCCAGGGUUGAUUCGGCUGAUCUGGCUGGCUAGGCGGGUGUCCCCUUCCUCCCUCACCGCUCCAUAUGCAUCCCUCCCACAGCUGUGCACUCAGUCGAAGAGGAUGACCUUCCCCGAUAGACAAGGACCGUUCUUCGGUCAAGGGUAUACGAGUAGCUGCACUCCCCUGCUAGAACCUCCAAACAAGCUCUCAAGGUCCAUUUGUAGGAGAACGUAGGGUAGUCAAGCUUCCAACACGCCAGAAAAAAAUAAAAAAAUACAAAAUAAAUAAAAAAAUUACAACUCUCCAUGUAGUGAUAU
rnacentral:snRNA from 1 species